AUUAGAAACUAUUAAAAGUGAAUGAAAUUAAUAUUUUAAUAUUUGUUUUAUACGAUAUUUUUUUAAGUUGAUAAAACAUGGAACACGUAUCAGAAAUAAGAACACUUAUUUCAUACAUCGAACGUAAGCGAAAGCGUAAAUGAAUUAUACGUUGCCGAUAACCUAUUCUUAUGCAUAUAAUUAGUGAAUUUAAAAAAUAGAUUACUUAUAUGAAUGCAUUUCAUAAAGUUAUACUACUGUGAUCUAAGCUAAGACAAUUUUUGAGAAAUUUAAUGGUAUUCAUAAUAAAAUUUUAAUUAUCAUUACAUCACAAUAAGAUAAGAUGAAGUGUAACAUAUUUCGUAUUACAAAUGUACAAUUUGUACAGAAAAGGUUUUUUAAAAAGCUUCAAGUGAGAGUUAGAUUUGCUCCUAGUCCAACUGGAUUUUUACAUAUAGGAAGUUUACGAACUGCAUUAUACAACUAUUUAUUUGCUCGUGCUAAUGAUGGUUCAUUUAUUUUACGAAUCGAAGAUACGGAUCAAUCUAGGUGCAUACCUGGAGCAAUAGAAAAAAUUGAGAAUGAUUUAUUAUGGGCUGGAAUUAUACCUGAUGAGGACCCACUAAGAGGUGGACCAGUUGGCCCAUAUUUACAAUCAAAACGACUUGAAAUAUACCAGGAACAUGUACUUAAACUUAUAAAUAAUCAGUCUGCGUAUUACUGUUUUUGCACAGAAAAUAGAUUACAGUUAUUAAAAAGAGAAGCUUUAAAAUGUGGACAAGUGCCUAAAUAUGAUAAUAGAUGUCGACAUUUAAGUGAUGAUGAAGUGAAACAAAAACUUAAGAAAGGAGAUCCCUAUUGUAUUAGAUUUAAGUUGUCUUCUGAGAUAGAAUGUUUUGAUGAUAUAAUAUAUGGUAAAAUAGAACAUGAUAUAGGAAGUAGAGAAGGAGAUCCAAUUAUUAUUAAAGGAGAUGGUUAUCCAACUUAUCAUUUUGCAAAUGUUGUUGAUGAUCAUUUAAUGGGAAUAUCUCAUGUCUUACGAGGAAUUGAGUGGCAGGUGUCUACACCUAAGCACAUAAUGAUGUAUAAAGCAUUUAAUUGGACCCCUCCUGUAUAUGGACAUUUACCACUAAUAUUAAACCCGAACGGAACAAAACUAUCAAAAAGACAAAAUGAUAUAAACAUUGAAUACUUCAGAAAAGAAGGAAUCUUUCCAUUAGCACUUCUAAAUUAUGUUAUUCAUGCAGGUGGUGGUUUUGAUAACAGGGGUGGAGCUCAUUAUAUUAAUAGUUAUGAAGAAUUAAUUAAACAAUUUAAUAUUUCUAAAAUAAAAGUAGCUUCUAAUAAACUUUCACCACCGAAAUUAUUAGAAUUUAAUAAGAUAGAAAUGUCAAAAUUAUUAGCAAAUGAAAAGAAUAAUAAAUUUUUAGUUGAAAGAGUUAGAAAUCUUGUUAUGGAGGCGUAUUCAGAAAGAAAAAUUGAUGGAAGUUUGCAUUUAGAUGAUCAUCAUAUAAUUACAAUAUUAAAAUGGGCACAAACUAGAAUAUCUAAGUUGAGUGAUUUAAUAUCUCCAGAAAUGAGCUUUAUAUGGAUCAUUCCAGCUACAUCUGAAGAUAAAGUUCAUUCCGAGUACUCAGAUGCGUUCAAAAUAUUAAAUAACAAAUUGCUGGAAAUUGACACUGAACAUUUUCACAAGUCAUGGAUGAACAGUUACUUAAAACAAUUUGCUGCUGAACAUAGCAUUCCAUAUGCAACAUUUAUGAAACAUCUGCGUUUUAUCCUUAGUGGUUUAAAAGAAGGUCCGCCAGUUGCUGAGAUGAUUGAAAUUUUAGGAAAAGAUACUACAUUGUUCAGAAUAAAUCACUAUAUUUCCUGAAAUUGAAUAUAUGAUUCAGUCAAUUUCUAUAAUCUCAAAUAAAUAUCACAUGCAAAUUAUUUUUCUAGUUGACUAUUAUUUACAAUAUACAAUUUGGAAUGCAUAAUACAAUUUUGAAGUUAGUACAUGAUAGCAUAAUGUCAGUUAUAUUUUACUCUUUCAUGACGCAA
rnacentral:misc_RNA from 1 species